AUGGCUCUGGGCAUUGCAAGGGGGAUCAACUACUUACAUCAGGGUUGUGACAUGCAGAUUCUGCACUUUGACAUCAAGCCGCACAACAUCCUUCUCGACAGCAAUUUCAUCCCAAAGGUCGCCGAUUUCGGGCUCGCCAAGCUGUAUCCGAGGAGUGACAGUUUCGUGCCACUAAGUGCCAUGCGGGGAACCAUCGGCUACAUAGCCCCCAAGAUGAUAUCCCGGAGCUUCGGCGUCAUAUCCAGCAAGUCCGACGUGUACAGCUUCGGGAUGUUGCUCCUGGAGAUGGCCGGCGGGAGAAGGAACGCUGAUCCAAACAUGGGGUCCUCAAGCCAGGCAUACUACCCCUCAUGGGUGUAUGACCGGCUGACUCAAGAAGAAGCGGGCGAGAUAUCUCCAGUUGCUGCCAACAUGCACGAGCUGGAGAAGAAGCUGUGCGUUGUUGCAUUAUGGUGUAUUCAGAUGAGGUCUCGUGAUCGGCCGACGAUGAGCGAGGUCAUUGAGAUCCUGGAGGCUGGAGUUGAUGGCCUACAGAUGCCUUCGAGGCCAUUUUUCUGCGAUGAAGGGCACAUCCACGUAGAGGACUCUUACCAUUUCACUUCGGAGCUGACAGCGGUCUCGGAGGAGGAAUUGACUGUGGUAUCGGAGGAAGACGACGGUGAGAUAUACAGUGUGUGA
rnacentral:rRNA from 1 species